UACACGACCGUACCGCAAACCGACACUGGUGCGCGAGAUGAGUAUUCUAAGGCGCUUGAGAGAACUCAGGAGAAGGAACUCGGCAAAUUGACACCGUAACUUCGGAAGAAGGUGUGCCUUUAGUAGGUGAACCAUUUACUUGGGGAGCCCAAUGAGGCUGCAAAAAAUCGGUGGCUGCAACUGUUUAUUAAAAACACAGCGCUCUGCUAAGACGAAAGUCGACGUAUAGGGUGUGACGCCUGCCCGGUGCUGGAAGAUUAAAUGAUGGGGUGCAAGCUCUUGAUUGAAGUCCCAGUAAACGGCGGCCGUAACAAUAACGGUCCUAAGGUAGCGAAAUUCCUUGUCGGGUAAGUUCCGACCUGCACGAAUGGCGUAAUGAUGGCCACACUGUCUCCUCCUGAGACUCAGCGAAUUUGAAAUGUUUGUGAUGAUGCAAUCUCCCCGCGGAAAGACGGAAAGACCCCAUGAACCUUUACUGUAGCUUUGUAUUGGACUUUGAACAGAUCUGUGUAGGAUAGGUGGGAGGCUUUGAAGUGUGGUCGCUAGAUCGCAUGGAGCCAACGUUGAAAUACCACCCUGGUGUGUUUGAGGUUCUAACCUAGGUCCAUUAUCUGGAUCGGGGACAGUGCAUGGUAGGCAGUUUGACUGGGGCGGUCUCCUCCCAAAGUGUAACGGAGGAGUUCGAAGGUACGCUAGGUACGGUCGGACAUCGUGCUAAUAGUGCAAUGGCAUAAGCGUGCUUAACUGCGAGACUGACAAGUCGAGCAGAUGCGAAAGCAGGACAUAGUGAUCCGGUGGUUCUGUAUGGAAGGGCCAUCGCUCAACGGAUAAAAGGUACUCUGGGGAUAACAGGCUGAUACCGCCCAAGAGUUCAUAUCGACGGCGGUGUUUGGCACCUCGAUGUCGGCUCAUCUCAUCCUGGGGCUGUAGCCGGUCCCAAGGGUAUGGCUGUUCGCCAUUUAAAAAGGUACGUGAGCUGGGUUUAAAACGUCGUGAGACAGUUUGGUCCCUAUCUUCCGUGGGCGCUGCAGAUUUGAGGAAGCCUGCUCCUAGUACGAGAGGACCGGAGUGGACGAACCUCUGGUGUAUCGGUUGUCACGCCAGUGGCAUUGCCGAGUAGCUAAGUUCGGAAGAGAUAACCGCUGAAAGCAUCUAAGCGGGAAACUCGUUUCAAGAUUAGAUCUGCCGGGGCCUUGAGCCCCCUAAAGAGUCGUUCAAGACCAGGACGUUGAUAGGUCAGGUGUGGAAGCCAA
rnacentral:rRNA from 1 species